AUUGAACGCUGGCGGCAUGCCUUACACAUGCAAGUCGAACGGUAACAGGUCUUCGGAUGCUGACGAGUGGCGAACGGGUGAGUAAUACAUCGGAACGUGCCCGAUCGUGGGGGAUAACGGAGCGAAAGCUUUGCUAAUACCGCAUACGAUCUACGGAUGAAAGCAGGGGACCGCAAGGCCUUGCGCGGACGGAGCGGCCGAUGGCAGAUUAGGUAGUUGGUGGGAUAAAAGCUUACCAAGCCGACGAUCUGUAGCUGGUCUGAGAGGACGACCAGCCACACUGGGACUGAGACACGGCCCAGACUCCUACGGGAGGCAGCAGUGGGGAAUUUUGGACAAUGGGCGCAAGCCUGAUCCAGCAAUGCCGCGUGCAGGAUGAAGGCCUUCGGGUUGUAAACUGCUUUGUACGGUAACGAAAGGACUCUGGUUAAUACCUGGGGCGUCAUGACGGUACCGUAAGAAUAAGCACCGGCUAACUACGUGCCAGCAGCCGCGGU
rnacentral:rRNA from 1 species